UCCCAGGAUAGAAUUAGGGAUAGGGAAGCUGGCUAGGGUUAUCAUUAAGGUUUGGAUUUGUUUUAGGUUUAAGACUGGGAGUUAGGUUUAGUGGUUAGGGUGAAUGCCAUUAGGGCUAAUGUUAGUGUUAGGGUCAAAGAGUUGUCACAGAAACCUCAGAGACCUAGAGCUGGCAUAAGGUUGUUAGAGAACCUGAGAGUCAUCACAGAGUCAUCCUAGAGUCUUAUAUUAUGGACAUAAUGUCCUCACAGAGGCAUCCUGAAGUUGUCAUAGUCAUCACAAAUAAAUCAUAAAGUCAUCAUGUAGACCUCAGAGAGUAAUAUAGUAGUCACAGUGCCAUCAUAGAGGUGUCAUAGAUUUGUCAUAGGAUUGUCACAGAGUCACGGAGUGGUCAUAGAGUCAUCAUAGAGGAUAUAAAGAUGCCAUCCAUACCUGCAGAGAUGAGAUCAGGAAAGCACACAUGGAGCUGAGCUAGGUAAAGGAUGUGAAAAAACAAGAAGAGACUCUACAGACGUCAGUGGAAGGAUCUGACAAAACCUGCUGAGGCAAAGACCUGGCCUUGAAUGGAAUUAAACCAACCAGCUGGUUGCUCUGCCACAUCCAAUGUAAACUCAGACACCAAUGUGAUUGUCUUUGGUAGCUCCCGGACAAAUUCCACCUACAUAAAAAAGACAGAAAAUGAUGCAGCAUGAUCUCUGCAGAGCAGCUUUUCCAAGUCUCUCAACAUACAUGGAGAACAAGGAGAUCUCCCAUCAGUAAACACAUUUAGCCUAUAGGAUCAAGUCCAAGCCAAAUAAAGGCAGCAAAGUGUGCAUCUUCUGAA